rnacentral:rRNA from 1 species
GAUGAACGCUGGCGGCGUGCCUAAUACAUGCAAGUCGAGCGAACAGACGAGGAGCUUGCUCCUCUGACGUUAGCGGCGGACGGGUGAGUAACACGUGGAUAACCUACCUAUAAGAGUGGGGUAACUUGGGGAAAGCGGAGCUAAUACCGGAGAAUAUAUUGAACCGCAUGGUUCAAUAGUGAAAGACGGUUUUGCUGUCACUUAUAGAUGGAUCCGCGCCGCAUUAGCUAGUUGGUAAGGUAACGGCUUACCAAGGCAACGAUGCGUAGCCGACCUGAGAGGGUGAUCAGCCACACUGGAACUGAGACACGGUCCAGACUCCUACGGGAGGCAGCAGUAGGGAAUCUUCCGCAAUGGGCGAAAGCCUGACGCAGCAACGCCGCGUGAGUGAUGAAGGUCUUCGGAUCGUAAAGCUCUGUUGUUCGGGAAGAACAAAUUUGUACUAAUCUAUGCGCGUCUUGACGGUACCUGAUCAAAAAGCCCCGGCUAACUACGUG